rnacentral:misc_RNA from 1 species
AGGUGAUCACUCAAAAUCCAAAAAAUGUCGGGGGGGAAACAAAAAGAGAAACUGUACUCUAACAGUGAAAAAACCAACCAGAGAAUGUGCCAGACCUAGGGGAAUGUAAACAGCCAAAACUGCAGCUCGGUGAUGAAUGACACGUGGUUCAACGAAGCGAAAGUAAUUCCUCCCUGGUAACUGUGAUGACACAUACAAGAUUCCUUGUUGAGAAUCAGGUGAAAUGGAUUAAGCGCCAACAAGUUUCUUAACCAGCUGCGCGUGAUGGUUAAACCCCCCCCUAAACCCACUGGAAUGUCUUCAUGGACACUCGUCGCUGGAUUGUUUCAGGAAUAAAAGGAGAAGCAGGACACGGAUGGAGUUCGUGGCCGACGGCGCCGACAACUGCAGCCACUUGAACAGCGCCAGCCAUCGGAUGAUGGCGAUCCUGCAGAACGGCCAUCACAUCAACACCAGCGCCGCCGACGCCAAUGACCUGGGCAUUUACAACGACAUUUUUCUCAGCAGGUCUUCCUUGGGACUGAGGCGCUUUUCGGGUGUCAUGACGAUCUUCAUCAUCGUGAUGGGUGUGUUGGGUAACGCCUUGACUAUCGCCGCGCUCAUCAAGUGUCCGAAAAUACGAAACCUGACGGUGGCUUUCAUCACCAGUUUAUGCGUGGCGGAUUUCAGCUUUUGCGUCAUGGUGAUGCCGUUUACCGCCUACCGUUUCCUCAACGACCGCAAUUACUUUGGAGACGAAGACGUCAUGUGCAUUAUCUUUCCAUUGGUUCAAUACGCCAACGUCGGCGUUUCUUUACUCUCCAUCGCCAUGAUCACCAUUAACCGAUUCGUGAUGAUUGCCUAUCCGCAUUGGUACAAGAGAAUCUACACCCGCCGCAGCGUCGCCGGAAUGGUGGCCUUUGCCUGGAUUUUCUCCAUUUCCACGCUGAUGCCCACCUUGUCUGGUCGAUGGGGGAAAUUUGGUUUUGAUACUUGUCUGGGUUCGUGCUCCAUCGUCGGAUCCAAAGGCCCGAAAACGACAUUGUUCCUGAUCGGAUUCCUCACACCCUGUUUGGCUAUCGUUAUCAGCUACGCCGGAAUCUUUUGGACCGUGAACAAGUCGAGAACGAGAGUUCAGGGACAUGCCGGAACGACCGCUGCGGCUCCCGGUCGCACUGGAAGCGAUUGGCGCCUGACUAAAAUGAUCCUCAUCAUUUUCGUUUCGUUCAUCGUCUGCUACUUGCCCACCGCCAUCAUCAAGAUUGUGGACAAGGAAGUUAAACGUGCCGAUGCCCACGUGAUCAGCUACGUCUUGAUCUACUUCUCGGCCUGCAUCAAUCCCAUUAUCUACGUGACGAUGAACCGACAAUUCAGACAGGCGUACAAAGACGUCCUCUUCUGCACCGGCUGGACAACGGAAACAAAACAUUUCACCAAUAGCGUAUCGGGCUUACACGGCGCAGUCAACAGGACCGCCAUCUCGAAUGCAUCCGUGGCGAUGACGUCUGCUGUGCACCACCCGGAACCAGAGCGACUCGCUGCCAGCCAAAGUAAACGAAUCUUCAGCAAUCCAGUCGACAUUCCUCUCCACCGAUUGAGUAACGCCUGUUGAUCAGCAGCACCACAUCGUUAUCAAGUCGUAUAUAGAGUCAUUAAUAAGCCUUAUGCUUCUCGCGCUGGCCUUUGAUUUCAGUUACAUUUUGGGGGAUUGUUUCGUUAGAUAUUUUUUAUAUUAUUAUUAAACGACGACAUGAAUCCUAUUGGGUAGGAAUGACAGGGAGAACUCGUCUCACACACGAAGAUAAAUUGGUCAUUUCCUUAUAGACUGAGCGCAAUUCCGUGUCUCCCCAAUUUCCCAUGUCUCAUACAAACGUUGACGAUUGACGUGUAAUAAAAACGGAAAAAUGUGGCGACGUCGGUUAUUCGAGCCUUAAGUUGAUUUUGGUUAGUCACAGUAAAAACGUUAACUGUCGGUUGAUCCUUGAAAGCGGACGACAUGUCUGGCCUAGUUUGAUGCGAAUACGUGAUCCUUUAACAGCAUUCGUGUGUGUAUAGCAAAUGUUCGAAAUGAUCCCCCCCCCCCACCACCAGGAGAUAGCGUCGUUAAAUUGAAGUGCCUCUCACUUUCAUUCUGUUCCACAAUGCAGAGAGUAUCACGCCACUGUGCGUGAAAAGGAUUUGCGUGCAAAUCCUUGACGAUACAGAUACCCUCGCCAGCUACGUAUCAAACGGACACCUUCGCUCGCUUUGUGGAUAUUUGCAAUAAUCUAUUCCAAGGUACCCCCCUCCCCCCCACGCUUUUAUUUUUUUAUUCUCUUUCAUUCUAGUUCUGUAGAAUUACGACAUGUAAAGCGUUUCAGGCGAAUCCAAGCCCCAUGGCGUCAUCCGAAAUGCUUUUAGAAUAUUCCCAAAAGAGACGUGUUCAAACCGAAGUGAGUCGUGAAAUGUUGGAUCACAUUCCACUUGGGGCACACAAACUUGAGCUUACUUCCUGUGAAUAUGUUUAGGAACAAGCUUUUCUUAUUAUACUCUCCAACGGUUAAGAAUAAGUGACUUUAUGCAACGGCAAUGAACGCUGACGCUGCCUUUAAUCUUUAAUCAAAACUUGAUUGGAUGUAGGUGUUAAUAUUUUAGUAGGCACUCGUAACCCUGCAAAAAGUGCGCUCAACCUUUUACGUGAAAAUUUAGUCGUUUUCCAUAAAGGUCUUUGCUCAUUGGGGACGCGCUCUGGAUUCUAUAUUCAGCAUUAGACCGAUGAACGUUUUUAAAUAAUUUUAGUGAUCCGAUUAAAGGGGGAAAACUCCGAAUGACUGCGCUAAAAUCCAUUUAGAUUUCUCGAUUUUGCAUGGUAUAGUGUCUGUUCUCAAAUAUUAGGAGAACUCGAUUAUUCAUGCAUAAUGCUGUGAUGACCCACCCCAUAGAGGGGACGCCCUUUCAGUGUUUUAGUAGAUACACUCAAGAUAUCGGCUAGAUGCAAGAUGAAUGAUGGAGAUAAAACUUGGCUGUCGCGCCCAAGUUUGGCACAGAAAAGUGCCAGUAUUGAUUUUUGCGAUUCAUAAAGCGCGGCAGUAUAAAGCCAACAGUGUGCAGGAGCGAUCCAACUAAAUCAAAUUCAAGUUUCAAAAUCGAGAUUUGUUGGGAAAUUCGAAACUCGAUUCAUUUUCAUUUUUUUAUUGCAGAUUUAUGUAAGAAAUUGUCAAAAGUGCAGCCUUUACAAACGCGAAGCUUUUUGGUGCACAUAGUUUCUACGAUCUCCCAAAUUUUAUACAUUAUUUCAUGGCAGUCUACAGCGCUGCAGUAAGAAAAAAGAGCCCUUUGAGGCAAACAAAUCUGUGCGAGCUGAUUCGAUUUUGAAUUUGUAUACACAAGAGCAGCUCUUUGGUUUUAGUGCUGCGCCGCUACAGCUCAUUAGCAGUUUAACAUCAGCAUUUCGUGUAACAGAACCGUCAUUCCCGGAACUUUUCCCUCUUUACUGCUUUGCGUUCAAAGGACGUUAACGUUUAAGUCGAAUGUUUGUUUUUUAUUAUUUCUCAUUUUCCCUUUCAGCAAUAUUUCGUAAAACUUUUGAAGGCAGAAGUCAGUUCAGACUGACGUCUUUUUUUAAGAUUCGUUCAGUGUUUUGGAAGUUUGGCCAUAAUCAGUUCUAAAGAUAGCAUUGCAUGUGCAACCCUCUAUCUAUAAAUGUCGACUAUUCCUGGCUGUCGACGUAAAUCCUAAAUAGUAAUGCAUGUCAGUUCGCCUCCCGGUAUCGAAGUUGAUUUUACUCAUUAGAGCGUCUGUACGGAAACGGAUUGGACGUCGUCUUAAGACCAAGUGCAGCCAUAGUUCAUUAUCAGUUUAUUGGAUAAGAUCCAUUUGGAGUUCAGACGGUCCCUUUCGCGGAGAUUACCAGUCAUUAUCAAGAGACGAUAGUCACUGAAGGAAGGAGUCAGGAACUAGGAACAAGUUUCCUAGUGGCUCAAGAGACAAGUUGCCAUUUGAGAGACAUACCGGGAAAGUUAAGGAUAAUAACGACAGGCCUGAUAAAGGACAGCCAUGCCAUAUAUUGUAGAACAAUCUGAAAUGAGAGAUCCAUCCAAUCUGUCUGCAGACCACUAGACGGACGGUCGAUGGAAUAUUAAAUGGAGGUCCAGCAACUUUUCUUAAUAAAUUAUACCUAUUCAUUUUUGUCUCUGGCAUACACGGCAGUCAGAAUCGAUCAACAUUUUUCAUUUCAUCUCUAUAUAUAGUUCUCUAUUUGUGCAAUUCAAGUCCUACUGUAUUUAUUUUUAUCCUCCAUACCUUAGCCUGCGUGUAUUCUUUGAUGCCUCUGGAGAUUUUGAAAGCAGGAGCAGGACCCGCAUCAAACACAAAUGACUUGUUCCAGGUGGCUUCAUCUUCCGCAUCAAAGUUAUCUUUCCCGAGAGUCGAGCAGGUCCGAGUGCCAAAGAAACGCACUGGAAAUAUAACCAUCUAUGAACUGGUCACGUUGGUCACGAAGAGGACGAUGGCUAGCUGCUUAUUACUACUGCUUACUAGCUGCCACGGAAACACAAAAAGGAAUUGGAUAGACCUACAGCAUCUCCAAAUCUCAGCAUGCUACUUUUUCACUUCCUUCGAUAUAUAGAAUAUGAGUCAUAGUAGCAGUAAAAUGAAUAGAGCAACUAUCGGAACAACCAUAGUGUGCAUGCGGUUUUUUAUUCUGAAUAUCUGAUGACCUUGUACAGCCUCAUCAACUUCAUUUUUGCAAAAUAAAUGUUCUUUAUUAGUG